CAAAUUUUUAGGAGGAUUGUGGACUGGAUGUCUAUACUAGAAAAUGGGGAAAGUAUCUGAGCUUUCUGGAGGACUCCUAAGAAGCUUUGUGCUGGGGAGAGAUGUGUAUGAAGGGCUUAAGGUGUUGUCAUUUAUACAUGUUUAUUUGCUUUAUUCUUUAUUGUCUAUUUUGUUGAAUGGUCUGGAAU